rnacentral:rRNA from 1 species
UGGGGAAUUUUGGACAAUGGGCGAAAGCCUGAUCCAGCAAUGCCGCGUGUGUGAAGAAGGCCUUCGGGUUGUAAAGCACUUUUGUCCGGAAAGAAAUCCUUGGCUCUAAUACAGUCGGGGGAUGACGGUACCGGAAGAAUAAGCACCGGCUAACUACGUGCCAGCAGCCGCGGUAAUACGUAGGGUGCAAGCGUUAAUCGGAAUUACUGGGCGUAAAGCGUGCGCAGGCGGUUUGCUAAGACCGAUGUGAAAUCCCGGGCUCAACCUGGGAACUGCAUUGGUGACUGGCAGGCUAGAGUAUGGCAGAGGGGGGUAGAAUUCCACGUGUAGCAGUGAAAUGCGUAGAGAUGUGGAGGAAUACCGAUGGUGAAGGCAGCCCCCUGGGCCAAUACUGACGCUCAUGCACGAAAGCGUGGGGAGCAAACAGGAUUAGAUACCCUGGUAGUCCACGCCCUAAACGAUGUCAACUAGUUGUUGGGGAUUCAUUUCCUUAGUAACGUAGCUAACGCGUGAAGUUGACCGCCUGGGGAGUACGGUCGCAAGAUUAAAACUCAAAGGAAUUG